rnacentral:rRNA from 1 species
UACAGAGGGUGCGAACGUUGCUCGGAAUUACUGGGCGUAAAGCGCGUGUAGGCGGGACUGCAAGUCAGGCGUGAAAGCCCCGGGCUCAACCUGGGAACCGCGCUUGAGACUGGAGAACUAGAGUUCGGGAGAGGAUGGUGGAAUUCCCAGUGUAGAGGUGAAAUUCGUAGAUAUUGGGAAGAACACCGAUGGCGAAGGCAGCCAUCUGGACCGACACUGACGCUGAGGCGCGAAAGCGUGGGGAGCAAACAGG